GAGUUUGAUCCUGGCUCAGGAUGAACGCUGGCGGCGUGCUUAACACAUGCAAGUCGAACGAACCUUCGGGUUAGUGGCGGACGGGUGAGUAACGCGUGAGAAUCUGCCCUCAGGAGGGGGAUAACGGUUGGAAACGACCGCUAAUACCCCAUAUGCCUAUUGGUGAAAUGAAUUUCGCCUGAGGAUGAGCUCGCGUCUGAUUAGCUAGUUGGUGAGGUAAUGGCUCACCAAGGCUUCGAUCAGUAGCUGGUCUGAGAGGAUGAUCAGCCACACUGGGACUGAGACACGGCCCAGACUCCUACGGGAGGCAGCAGUGGGGAAUUUUCCGCAAUGGGCAAAAGCCUGACGGAGCAACGCCGCGUGAGGGACGAAGGCCUCUGGGCUGUAAACCUCUUUUCUCAAGGAAGAAGAUAUGACGGUACUUGAGGAAUAAGCCACGGCUAAUUCCGUGCCAGCAGCCGCGGUAAUACGGGAGUGGCAAGCGUUAUCCGGAAUUAUUGGGCGUAAAGCGUCCGCAGGCGGCUUUUCAAGUCUGCUGUUAAAGCGUGGAGCUUAACUCCAUCAUGGCAGUGGAAACUGAAAGGCUUGAGUAUGGUAGGGGCAGAGGGAAUUCCCGGUGUAGCGGUGAAAUGCGUAGAUAUCGGGAAGAACACCAGUGGCGAAGGCGCUCUGCUGGGCCAUUACUGACGCUCAUGGACGAAAGCCAGGGGAGCGAAAGGGAUUAGAUACCCCUGUAGUCCUGGCCGUAAACGAUGAACACUAGGUGUCGGGGGAAUCGACCCCUUCGGUGUCGUAGCUAACGCGUUAAGUGUUCCGCCUGGGGAGUACGCACGCAAGUGUGAAACUCAAAGGAAUUGACGGGGGCCCGCACAAGCGGUGGAGUAUGUGGUUUAAUUCGAUGCAACGCGAAGAACCUUACCAGGGUUUGACAUCCUGCGAACCUCUUAGAAAUUUGAGGGUGCCUUCGGGAAUGCAGUGACAGGUGGUGCAUGGCUGUCGUCAGCUCGUGUCGUGAGAUGUUGGGUUAAGUCCCGCAACGAGCGCAACCCACGUUUUUAGUUGCCAGCAUUUAGUUGGGCACUCUAGAAAGACCGCCGGUGAUAAACCGGAGGAAGGUGUGAAUGACGUCAAGUCAUCAUGCCCCUUACACCCUGGGCUACACACGUACUACAAUGCUACGGACAAAGGGCAGCAAACUCGCGAGAGCUAGCAAAUCCCAUAAACCGUGGCUCAGUUCAGAUCGUAGGCUGCAACUCGCCUACGUGAAGUAGGAAUCGCUAGUAAUCGCAGGUCAGCAUACUGCGGUGAAUACGUUCCCGGGCCUUGUACACACCGCCCGUCACACCAUGGAAGUUGGCCAUGCCCGAAGUCGUUACUCCAACCCUUGUGGAGGAGGACGCCGAAGGUGGGGCUAAUGACUGGGGUGAAGUCGUAACAAGGUA
rnacentral:rRNA from 1 species